rnacentral:lncRNA from 1 species
UGAGUUGUGAAAAUGUGUGAAUUGUGGAUUAAUUAUUGAUUGAAAGGUGGAAAAAUGAUUGAAUUGAAAAUGUGAGAAAUUGUGAUUGAAUUGAGAUUAUAUGUGAUUUAAAUACCCUAUUAACUAGUCGGGCUGAGUCGGAUAUAGUUGGCAUGCCAUAGGAUUGGAAGAGUUCAGGGAUACUUCGACCUCGAGUCAAUGAGACACUGCGUGUCACUAUAUUUCUUUGGAUAGAUUCGAUGAGGUACUGGGUACCAACUUUCUUCGGCUUUGCCGAUGAGACACUGGGUGUCAAUUAUUGCUUCGAACUAUCCGAUGAGGCACUGGGUGCCAUUCUGGUGUGUUUGGUUGGAUCCGUGUAUCCGUCAAAGUCCGAGUUUCGUUAAUAGGGUAAUUAAUGAAAUGAUAAACCGAACGAGCUACUGAAAUGAAAUGAAAAAGUUGAAUUGUGAAUUGAAAUGUGAAAUAAGAUUGAGAAAUGAACCUAAAGUUCAUGAGAUGUUCAAAUUCAAAUUGUGGAUAUGUGAUAUUGAUUGAUGGAUUGUUAUUGUUGAGAUAUUGAAUUUAAAUUGUAUAUACGAUUUAUGCAUUACAUGUACAUUAUUGUUAUAAUUUGAAUUAUGGUAAUACCACUGAGUAUGAAUUACUCAGCGUACGGUUGUUUCCGUGCGCAGGUCGAUAGAAGUCAAAGGUCUCGGUUCAGCAUCCAGAUUAAUCCCGGCUUCAGCAUAACUUUGGUGAUGUAUAUUUUCUUUUGGUAAUAUGGCAUGUACAUAGGAAUUAUAAGUUUUAUAUAAAUGGUUAAAAAUGUUAGUAUUAUAAGUUUAUGAAUUAUAAUGAAAGAAGUUUAUCUAUUUUAAUCUAAUUAGUCAAUGGAUAAAUUUAAAUUGAUAUUAUGUUAAUUGAGUUUGAUUAGAAGUAUUUAGAAUAGAAAAUGUGAAUGUGAAAUGAAUUGGUUGAUUUGGUUAUAUUUGAAAAUGUUAUGGAUUUUAAUUGCACGGGGUUGUAUGUAAAAAUAAGCAGAAGUGCUGCCGAAAUUUUUCAAAAAAAAAAAUGAAUGAAGUCUAUUAGCGAAAUUUAUAUGAAUUUAUGACUCUCUUAGAUAUGUUUGUUAAUUGUUUAUGAAUUAUUUUUAAAUUGUCUGAAAUGUCCGGUAAUGCCUCGUAACCCUGUUCUGGCGACGGUUCGGGGUUAGGGGGUGUUACAGCUGUUGGUAUCAGGGCUAUCAGGUUUAGCCGAUUCUCAGCCUAAAUCGAGUUCGAAAUUGAGUCUAGAUGUACAUGCCACUGUCGAGUCAAACUGAGUCGGGAUUUGUGGAUGCUGACCUAUUUGUUUGCUUUGUUUUAUGGAUUAAAGAUGUCUGAAGAAAGAAUAAAUGAUACUGAUGAAAGAAUGUAUACUGAAGAUAGAGAAUUAGAUGAAACAGAAUCUGCUGCACCGAGUGUGAAUCCGUUAGGCAAACAACCUCCUAAUGUGGAAAGGGAAAAUACCAGAGAUAGAGAUGAAUCCCAAUUACUGAGAAUUAUAGCUGAUGCAUUACAAAGAGUAGCGAGAACUGCUCCUGCUACGACUUCAGUACCUACUGCUAGACGGGCCCCGAUAAAAGAACUGAGAAAAUAUGGUGCCAUUGAAUUUAUGGGUCUAAAAGGAGUUGAUCCUUCCGCAGCUGAAAAUUGGAUGGAGUCGACUAAAAGAAUUUUGCAGCAAUUAGACUGUACCCUCCGUGAGUGUUUAAUCUCUGCUGUAUCGUUGCUACAAGGGGAGGCUUAUCUAUGGUGGGAAUCAAUAGUUCGACAUCUACCAGAGAGUCAGAUAAAUUGGGAUCUAUUUCAGAAGGAAUUCCAAAAGAAAUAUAUCGGAGAGAUGUAUAUCGAAGACAAGAAACAAGAGUUUUGAAUGUUACAACAAGGGGGAUAUGUCAGUAAUAGAUUAUGAGAGAGAAUUCUUGAGACUCAGCAGAUAUGCCUCUGAAUUUAUCCCGACAGAAGCUGAUAGUUGUAAAAGAUUUCUACGGGGUUUGCGAGACGAGAUCAAGGUACAGUUAGUAUCUCAUCGGAUCACUGAGUUAGUAGAUUUGAUUGAGCGGGCUAAAAUGGUGGAACAAGUUCUAGGCCUCGAUAAAAACCCUGAAGUUGUUAGACCAACCGGGAAACGUAUAGGAACUACGAGUUCGAACCCUCAGCCGAAAAGACCAAAGGAGUCUCAAAGUGGUUGGAGAUCUUAUUUCAGAUUAGACAGAGGUGGUAGAAGCAGGGGAAGACAGAUGACGGUAUCUACUGGCAGUGUGAGAGGUCCUUCUCGAGAAAUAGAAAUUCCAGACUGUCAACACUGUGGAAAGAAACAUAGAGGGGAAUGUUGGAGAUUAACUAGAGGCUAUUUCCGAUGUGGUUCUACAGACCAUUUUAUCAGAGAUUGUCCGAAAACUGAUAGUACUAUACCCGUGACAUCACAAAGAUCGGUAUCUACUGCUAGAGGCAGAAGGUUAGGAAGAGGUGGUUCGGUUUCAAGGGAAGGAAGUAUUAGGAGGAGCAGUGAUAUUGCUACCCAGUAGGCUGAAGCUAAAGUACCUGCCAAAGCUUAUGUGGUCAGAACACGGGAAGAAGGCGACGCCCACGAUGUAGUAACAGGUAUAUUCUUACUAUAUUCUGAGCAUGUUUAUGCUUUAAUCGAUCCCGGCUCUUCACACUCUUAUAUAAAUUCAAAAUUAGUUGAAUUGGGAAAAUUUAAUUCUGAAAUAUCUAGAGUAACUGUAGAAGUGUCGAGUCCGUUGGGGCAGACAGUAUUAGUAAAUCAGGUUUGUCCGAGAUGCCCUUUAAUUAUACAAAAUAAAACUUUUCCUAUUGACCUAUUGAUUAUGCCAUUUGGGGAUUUUGAUAUAAUAUUGGGAAUGGAUUGGUUGUCUGAACACGGGGUGGUAUUGGAUUGUUAUAAAAAGAAGUUUAGUAUUCAGACAGAAGACGGGGACAGAAUUGAAGUGAAUGGUAUUCGUACUAAUGGGCCGGCACGUAUUCUUUCAGCAAUAAAGGCUAAUAAAUUGCUACAGCAGGGUUGUACAGCAUAUUUCGCUUAUGUUAUUAAUUUUGAUUCGGUUGGUAGUCAGUGCAGUAAGAUCAGAACUGUAUGUGAGUUUCCAGAUGUAUUCCCUGAAGAACUACCGGGUUUACCACCUGACAGAGAGGUUGAAUUUGCUAUAGAAGUGUAUCCGGGUACAACACCAAUCUCUAUACCACCGUAUCGAAUGACGCCCAUUGAGUUAAAAGAGUUGAAAGUGCAAUUACAGGACUUGCUAGAUCGUGGAUUUAUUAGACCAAGCAUUUCACCUUGGGGAGCUCCGGUAUUGUUUGUUAAAAAGAAAGAUGGAUCGAUGCGGCUUUGUAUUGAUUAUCGACAGUUAAACAAAGUGACGAUCAAGAACCGGUAUCCGUUACCCUUUAUAGAUGAUUUAUUUGAUCAACUAAAAGGAGCUUCAGUAUUUUCGAAGAUUGACUUGAGAUCUGGGUAUUAUCAGUUGAAAGUAAAAGAAAGUGAUGUUCCGAAGACUGUAUUUCGUACUCGAUAUGGUCAUUAUGAAUUUUUGGUAAUGCCGUUCGGGUUGACUAAUGCUUCAGCUGCUUUUAUGGAUUUGAUGAAUCGUAUUUUUCAGCCGUAUUUAGACCAGUUUAUGGUGAUUUUUAUUGAUGAUAUAUUGGUUUAUUUGAAGUCGGAGUCAGAGCGUAAUCAGCAUCUCAGAACCAUGUUACAGAUUCUGCGGGAAAAAUAAUUGUACGGGAAACUGAGUAAAUGUGAAUUCUGGUUAUCAGAGGUAGUAUUCUUGGGACAUGUUGUAUCUGCGGAUGGGAUUAGAGUUGAUCCGAAGAAGAUCGAGGCAAUUGUUCAAUGGAAGGCACCAAAGAAUGUAUCAGAGGUACGCAGUUUUCUUGGUUUUGCUGGGUAUUACAGAAGAUUUGUAAAUGGGUUUUCAAAGAUAACUUUGCCGAUGACCAAGUUACUACAAAAGAAUGUUCCUUUUAUAUGGGAUGAACAGUGUCAGAUAAGCUUUGAAACAUUGAAACAAAUGUUGACAGAGGCACCAAUUUUAACUUUACCAGAAUCGGGGAAAGAUUUCAUAGUGUAUAGUGAUGCUUCUUUGAAUGGUUUGGGUUGUGUAUUGAUGCAGGAUGGAAAAGUAAUAGCUUAUGCAUCUCGACAGUUGAAACCACAUGAACGUAACUACCCGACACACGAUUUGGAGUUAGCUGCUGUAGUAUUUGCAUUGAAGAUUUGGAGACAUUACUUGUGUGGUGAGAAAUGUUAUAUUUACACUGAUCAUAAGAGUCUCAAAUAUCUUCUGUCACAAAAGGAGUUGAAUCUGAGACAGAGACGAUGGAUAGAACUUCUGAAAGAUUAUGAUUGUGUUAUAGAUUAUCAUCCAGGAAAGGCAAAUGUGGUAGCAGAUGCAUUGAGCAGAAAGGCAGCGGCUGAGUUACGGGCAAUGUUUGCUCGACUUAGUAUUAAUGAUGAUGGAAGUUUGUUAGCUGAGUUAAGAGUUAAGCCGGUAAUGUUUGAUCGAAUCAGAGCAGCACAACUAGAAGAUGAGAAGUUGAUGAAGAAAAGAGAAAUGGUACAGCAUGGUACGGUAGAAAAUUUUAGUAUUGACGAGCAUGAUUAUUUGAGAUUUCAGAAUCGAAUUUGUAUUCCAGCUACUUCUGAGAUUAAAGAGCUGAUUCUUCGAGAAGCACAUGAUAGUAUUUUUGCUUUGCACCCAAGUGGAACGAAGAUGUAUCACGAUCUACGAGAACUGUAUUGGUGGCCAGGAAUGAAGAAGGAUAUAGUUGAGUAUGUCAGUAAAUGCUUGACUUGUCAGCGGGUAAAAGCAGAACAUCAGGUACCAACAGGUCUGUUACAGCCUAUUACUAUUCCCGAGUGGAAAUGGGAUCGCAUUACCAUGGAUUUUGUUACGGGGUUGCCAUUGUCAGUGAGUAAAAAGAAUGCCAUUUGGGUGAUUGUUGAUCGACUCACAAAGUCAGCUCAUUUUAUAGCAGUUAGAACUGACUGGUCAUUACAGAAGCUUGCCGAGGUUUAUAUUCGAGAAAUUGUUAGAUUACAUGGUAUUCCGGUAUUAAUAAUUUCAGACAGAGAUCCUCGAUUCACUUCGAGAUUUUGGAAGCAGUUGCAUGAAUCAUUGGGUACUCGACUUAGUUUCAGUACAGCUUUUCAUCCUCAAGCUGAUGGACAAUCUGAACGGGUAAUUCAGAUAUUAGAAGAUAUGCUUCGAGCUUGUGUCAUUGAUUUUGAAUCAGGUUGGGAACGUUAUUUACCAUUGGCUGAGUUUGUUUAUAAUAAUAGUUUCCAAUCUAGUAUUCAAAUGGCUCCGUAUGAAGCACUUUAUGGUCAAAGGUGUCGAUCACCAGUAUGUUGGACAGAAUUAAAAGAAAGAAAAGUGAUUGGGCCGGAAUUAAUUCAAGAGACAAAAGAAACAGUUAAGAAGAUAAAAUAUAGACUGAAAGCCGCUUUUGACAGACAGAAAUCUUACGCAGACUUGAAACGACGAGACAUUGAAUAUUCCGUUAGUGAUAAGGUAUUCCUCAAAGUAUCGCCGUGGAAGAAAAUUUUGAGAUUUGGUCGGAAGGGAAAAUUAGGUCCGCGUUUUAUUGGGCCGUAUGAGAUUGUGGAAAGAAUUGGGCCUGUUGCUUAUCGAUUAGCCUUACCUCCAGAGUUACAGAAAAUUCAUGAUGUUUUUCAUGUUUCGAUGCUUCGGAGAUAUAUAUCAGAUCCUUCUUAUAUCAUUUCCACUGAAGACAUUGAAAUUCGAUUUGAUUUAACUUAUGAAGAAGAACCAGUUCAGAUAUUAGCACGAGAAGUGAAAGAAUUAAGAAAUAAACGGGUUCCUUUAGUAAAAAUUUUAUGGAGAAGUCAUAGUGUGGAAGAAGCGACUUGGGAACUGGAAGAGACAAUGAGAGCACAAUAUCCUCAUCUCUUCUCAGGUAAAUUUCGAUGACGAAAUUUAUUAAGGGGGGAGAAAUGUAAUGACCCAAAAUUCACGGGCAUCGGAAAAGUAUAAUAUCGGGCCUCCGUCUUGAGUUUAAAAAUAAUUAUUAGAAAUAUUUACGAGACUAGUUGUGUGUUUAAUUAGGUUUUAGAUAGAUGAAUUUGGCUCAAUUAAGAGUAAUUAGCAAAAGGGAUUAAAUUACAAUAGAAGUGAAAAUCUAAUCAUAGAUUAAAAGAAAGUAAAAAGGGCUAAAAUGGAAAUUAAGCCAUUUAAAAUGAUUGAGGCGGCAUAAAGGAAUAAAAUUUAAGAUUUUAUUUGUUUAAUUAUAUAAUUAAUGAUAUUUAUUAUUAGUUAUUAGUUAUUAUUAAAUUAAAAGAUAUUUAGUAAUUAAAUAAUUAGUAUAAGAUUUUUGGGUAAUAAUAAAUUAUGAUUUUGCCAAAUGUGUGGUAAAAAUAAAAUACAAGUGUAUUAUAUUUAUUUAUUUACUUGAAAAUUAAGUAAAAGAUAAUUGUUAAUUAAAUAAUAAUAUUAUGAGAUUUUUAUUUGAUAAAUUAGUUAGAUUGAGACAAGUGUAUGGUAAUGAUUUAAUGCAAGUGUACUAAUAAAAUACAUACAUUUGUAAUAUUUAUAAUUAAUUAAUAUAAUAUAAAGUAAAUGAAAUAAAAUGAAAUAAAAACAAAGCAAAAGAAAGGAAAGAAACAGAAUAGAAGAGACGAAACAUGGGAGAAACAGGGGAGAAAGAAGAAAAAGAAGAAAAAAGGGAAAAUAGGGUUUUUGAAGCUUGAAAUUUAAUUUGGUAAGUCAAAUUAGCCCUUUUCUCUUAAUUCUAAUGUUUUAAAAGCUUUAAAACAAAGUUUUGAUAGAAUUAAGUUGAUAUUUUGUAAGUUCAUAGGUUUUCAAGAAUAGUUUAUGUUGAAUAAAUUGUUGAAUUAGGGAUUUAAUUGAAUGAAUUUUAAGUUAGAAUUGAUAAAGGGAUUAAAGUGUAAAAGAAACUAUAAGUUUUAUGUUUUAGGGACUAAAUUGAGGGAAAUUCGAAAUUAGCAAAAUAUGCUGAAAUUUUGAUAGUUAAAUUUUAGUUUGGAUGAAAUUUGAAUAGAAAUAGAGUGUGAAUUGAAUUAGGAAAGUAAGUGAAGUUAGUUAGGAUUAAAUUGAGAAUUAAGAAGAAAUUGAAUAGAAAUUCAAUUAUUUAUUAUAAUUAGUGCUGUAAUUAAUAUUACAAAUUAUUAUUAUUUUCGUAGCUAAUAAAGAACCCGAGGCAUCGGCGUAAAAAGGAAAGGAGAAAGUUAUCGAGGACUAAAACGGGAGAAUUACGGUUUGUAUUACUAUAAUUCAAAUUAUUUAUAUUUAAAUGUUAAAUUUUAAUUUAUGUGUUUAGUAAAUGAAAUGUGAGGUAAGUAUUAUUAUUAUUAUUAUUAUUAUUAUUAUUAUUAUGAGUGGGAAUUAAAUUGAAUAUUUGAUAUGAAUUAAUAUUUGAAUUGUUUGUUGAUCGAAAGUGGGAAGUGAAUUUAAAUCGAAUAGUGACUGAUAUUAAAUUGAAUAGAAAUGUAUUGAGUUGUGAAAAUGUGUGAAUUGUGGAUUAAUUAUUGAUUGAAAGGUGGAAAAAUGAUUGAAUUGAAAAUGUGAGAAAUUGUGAUUGAAUUGAGAUUAUAUGUGAUUUAAAUACCCUAUUAACUAGUCGGGCUAAGUCGGAUAUAGUUGGCAUGCCAUUGGAUUGGAAGAGUUCAGGGAUACUUCGACCUCGAGUCGAUGAGACACUGGGUGUCACUAUAUUUCUUC